AGUGAACGCUGGCGGUAGGCCUAACACAUGCAAGUCGAACGGCAGCACAGAGGAGCUUGCUCCUUGGGUGGCGAGUGGCGGACGGGUGAGGAAUACAUCGGAAUCUACUCUGUCGUGGGGGAUAACGUAGGGAAACUUACGCUAAUACCGCAUACGACCUACGGGUGAAAGCAGGGGAUCUUCGGACCUUGCGCGAGUGAAUGAGCCGAUGUCGGAUUAGCUAGUUGGCGGGGUAAAGGCCCACCAAGGCGACGAUCCGUAGCUGGUCUGAGAGGAUGAUCAGCCACACUGGGACUGAGACACGGUCCAGACUCCUACGGGAGGCAGCAGUGGGGAAUAUUGGACAAUGGGCGCAAGCCUGAUCCAGCCAUACCGCGUGGGUGAAGAAGGCCUUCGGGUUGUAAAGCCCUUUUGUUGGGAAAGAAAUCCAUCUGGUUAAUACCCGGGUGGGAUGACGGUACCCAAAGAAUAAGCACCGGCUAACUUCGUGCCAGCAGCCGCAGUAA
rnacentral:rRNA from 1 species